CUAACAAGGAUUCCCCUAGUAACUGCGAGUGAAGCGGGAAAAGCUCAAAUUUGAAAUCUGGCAGUCUUUUUUUUCUUCUUUGGCUGUCCGAGUUGUAAUCUAGAGAAGUGCUUACCUGCACUGGACCAUGUAUAAGUCUCCUGGAAUGGAGCGUCACAGAGGGUGAGAAUCCCGUCUUUGACAUGGACCGCCAGUGUGUUGUGGUGUGCUCUCAAAGAGUCGAGUUGUUUGGGAAUGCAGCUCUAAAUGGGUGGUAAACUCCAUCUAAAGCUAAAUAUUGGCGAGAGACCGAUAGCGAACAAGUACCGUGAGGGAAAGAUGAAAAGGACUUUGGAAAGAGAGUUAAACAGUAUGUGAAAUUGUUGAAAGGGAAACGCUUGAAGUCAGUUAUGUUGGCUAGGGAUCAACCUAGCUGUUUUUUGCUGGGUGAAUUUCCUAGUCUGACAGGCCAACAUCAGUCUUGACUGCUGGAAAAGAGCAGAGGGAAUGUGGCACCUUUGGGUGUGUUAUAGCCUUUUGUCAUAUGUGGCAGUUGGGACUGAGGGAUGCAGCAUGCCGCGAGGCUGGGUUUCUGACCACGUUCAUGCUCAGGAUGUUGGCUUUUAAUGGCUUCAAUCGACCCGUCUUGAAACACGGACCAAGGAGUCUAACAUGCCUGCGAGUGUUUGGGUGGGGAAAACCCUUGUGCACAAUGAAAGUGAAAGUUGAGAUCCCUGUCAUGGGGAGCAUCGACGCCCGGACCUGAGCUUUUAGCGACGGAUCCGCGGUAGAGCAUGCAUGUUGGGACCCGAAAGAUGGUGAACUAUGCCUGAAUAGGGCAAAGCCAGAGGAAACUCUGGUGGAGGCUCGUAGCGAUUCUGACGUGCAAAUCGAUCGUCAAAUUUGGGUAUAGGGGCGAAAGACUAAUCG
rnacentral:rRNA from 1 species